ensembl:lncRNA
UGAGGCCAAUCAGUUCCAAAAAGAAAGAAAAACCUGUGCUAAUUGGAAAAUAAAUUCAGGGAUUUAUCUGUUUUAAAGAAAAAUGAAAACAAAGUAAUGUUUAUGUAAUUAGGGAAAUGCAAACAGAUGAUUUCAAUCAGCAGGAAAAAGCGGUGUAUGUGAGAGAUAAAAAAAGAAUUUGCUAAAAAGAGGAAGAGACAAAACUUGUCUGCCCUUGUCUAUCAUAAAAAAAAAAAAAUGUAAAUGAAAUAAGCAGAAGUGCAGCAAUAGAUAAUAGGAAGUUUAACCAUGUAGAGUUGAAUAAAACGCCGGUGGAGGAAGGCAUGUUGGGGUGUGAUAGCCUUCACACUCACUGCACAUCCUGUUUGUUCAACUACUCAAACUUAGAUCUGCUCAGUUUUUCAUGAAUGGUUCUGGAGUGCAGUCUUCCCAUUGGCCAGCCGUUGACCAAUCAGAGCUUAGUGUUUUGAUGGGGUUGUUCGCAUUCCCUUAUCCCUAUUGAUAACCCCUUCCUGCCAUCCAGCCCUGCUGAUUCAGUUGAAAAGAGGGAUAUUCUCAUUCAGAGAGUAGUCUCUCUUUCUUUCUCUCCCUC